UUGAGUCAGGAUCAGCCUGAGGCCAAUUUGGUCUUAAAUUAGUUGAAUUGGACUUGAAUUGGGCCUGAUUCAUAUUCAAUUGGGUCGUUGGAACUAACCCAGCUUAAUUGGGUUCGGACUCAAAUCAAUUUCGGCUUAAAUUUGGUUCGGAUUUGACCCAAUUUACAGUUUGAGCUCGCCCAGACUUAGCCUAGUUUAAUUGGGUUCGGGUUUAGUCAAAUUUGGCUUAAACCCACUUCAUUUUAUUGGGCUUAACUGGUUUCGGAUCCGAACCCAGAUCCGACUCGUUAGGCCAGAUCUAUUAGGGUCUUUUUUUUUUCUUUUCUUUUU
rnacentral:lncRNA from 1 species